UCCCUGGUAGCCCAGAGGGUAAAGCAUCUGCCUGCAAUGCGGGAGACCCAGGUUCAAUCCCUGGAUUGGGAA
rnacentral:tRNA from 1 species